CAUUACCCGUAAUUGUUUUGUAAAAUAUCUUAAAUAACAUCAUCUAUUUGAGCUUCGUGUGUUUUACUACAUAAAAGAAUUUGACUUUAAACAGUUAGAUAAGUUUUAGAGAAGUUUUACGUGCAUUUUAAAGUGAAAUCUUUAAAAUUUAUGUUACUUUAUGUGAAUGAUUUUUGAUACCGUUGGAUUUAAGAAAAUACAAGAUACUAGUAAUUCACACGGCUGCUACGGAUCCAUUGUGAUACUGCUAAAUCUACAACACUGCGAUAUUUAAAUAUGGGAGAUCUGCUGGGAAAUCUACCGGAAAAUCUGCCUGAAAAUUUGGGGCAAACAACUGGACUACAAAACAAUCUUACCGAUUAUCCAUGGCGACAUGUUCCCAUUUGGGACGGUGAUCUUGAAAAUAGGCUUAUUAUAGAAGUUAAGGAAGAGCAUUCGAACAGUCGUCAACAUGUCUUGAUUCUAGGUCCAGUGGGAGCAGGAAAAACCAGUUUUAUCAAGCGAAUAUUAAGCCUUUUUCAAAGAUACAGAUGUUCA